GUCAUAAGGGAGCUACCAUUUGAUUUUUAUGGGGGGGCUAGGAUGAAAUUUGAAAAAAUAGGCAGGACAGGAGUUUUGAGUAAAAAAAAAGACAGGAUGAGACACUUGCAAAAAAAAAAAAGUCAGGACGACAAUUUAGGUAAAAAAAAGUCAGGAUAAACUAAAAAAAAAAGGCAGGACCGAACAGAGUGAAAAAUAAAAAGGCAGGACAGAGAUUACAGCUAAAAAAAAAUGCAGGACAAAAUUUUUCAUCCUAGCCCCCCAUAAAAAUAAAAAUCAAAUGGUAGCUCCCUAAACCUUGUGUCAAAAUUUCAUAGAUUUCUAUUUACUUAAACUUAAGUUAUUGUGCGAAAACCAAGAAAAUGCUUAUUUGGGCCCUUUUUGGCCCCUAAUUCCUAAAAUGUUGGGAUCAAAACUCCCAAAAUCAAUCCCAACCUUCUUUUUGUGGUCAUAAACCUUGUGUUAAAAUUUCAUAGAUUUCU
rnacentral:lncRNA from 1 species